rnacentral:rRNA from 1 species
AUUGCCUCAGUAACGGCGAGUGAAGCGGCAACAGCUCAAAUUUGAAAUCUGGCCCCAGGCCCGAGUUGUAAUUUGCAGAGGAUGCUUUUGGUGCGGUGCCUUCCAAGUUCCCUAGAACGGGACGCCAGAGAGGGUGAGAGCCCCGUACAGUUGGACACCAAGCCUUUGUAAAGCUCCUUCGACGAGUCGAGUAGUUUGGGAAUGCUGCUCAAAAUGGGAGGUAUAUUUCUUCUAAAGCUAAAUACCGGCCAGAGACCGAUAGCGCACAAGUAGAGUGAUCGAAAGAUGAAAAGCACUUUGAAAAGAGGGUUAAACAGCACGUGAAAUUGUUAAAAGGGAAGCGCUUGUGACCAGACUUGCGUCCGGUGAAUCACCCAGCUCUCGCGGCUGGGGCACUUCGCCGGCUCAGGCCAGCAUCAGCUCGCUGUCGGGGACAAAAGCUUCAGGAACGUAGCUCUCUCCGGGGAGUGUUAUAGCCUGUUGCACAAUACCCUUCGGCGGGCUGAGGUACGCGCUCCGCAAGGAUGCUGGCAUAAUGGUCAUCAGCGACCCGUCUUGAAACACGGACCAAGGAGUCAACCUUAUGUGCGAGUGUUCGGGUGUCAAACCCCUACGCGUAAUGAAAGUGAACGCAGGUGAGAGCUUCGGCGCAUCAUCGACCGAUCCUGAUGUUCUCGGAUGGAUUUGAGUAAGAGCAUAUAGGGUUGGACCCGAAAGAAGGUGAACUAUGCGUGUAUAGGGUGAAGCCAGAGGAAACUCUGGUGGAGGCUCGCAGCGGUUCUGACGUGCAAAUCGAUCGUCAAAUAUGCGCAUGGGGGCGAAAGACUAAUCGAA